GAACGCCCUGCCAUUAAUGCGCCGUCAUCGUUAGCUCCUCUCUCCUGGCGGGGAUGCGGUUUGGGGUUCUCGCGAGGCAUAUUAGUGACCAAUUUAAAUUCAAACAUCAGUGGCUAGUGGGUGUGACUGUCGGGCAUCAUUAGCAGACACUCGAGUCGCCCUAAUGCUCACCGAUUUGUAUCUGCAAUUUGCUUUAUGCAAGAUAUCUGCGGUAAAUACUCCUACUUGGUUGGAUAUAUCUACUAGGAACUCGAGCUAACUUCCGCCGUGACUCAUAAGUGUCUAGAAGGAUUUAAAUAAUUUAUCAUCUGCCUAAAUUCAAAUUAUGGGAAUGAAUCUAUAAAGUAGAUUUUUCACUUUAUAAUAUUGCAUUUUAUGUAGACAAGCACAAAUGGUUAAAACUUUACAGGAACUCCUCUGAAAAAAAAGUUUUGGU